GUUUUAUUGAGAGUUUGAUCUUGGCUCAGGACGAACGCUGGCGGCGUGCCUAAUACAUGCAAGUCGAGCGCGGGAAGCUAACUGAAUCCUUCGGGAGGACGUUAGUGGAACGAGCGGCGGACGGGUGAGUAACACGUGGGCAACCUGCCUGUAAGACUGGGAUAACUCCGGGAAACCGGGGCUAAUACCGGAUAAUACUUCUCCUCACAUGAGGGAAAGUUGAAAGGUGGCUU
rnacentral:rRNA from 1 species